UACGAAGGACCCGAGCGUUAUCCGGAUUUAUUGGGUUUAAAGGGUGCGUAGGCGGAUUUACAAGUCAGUGGUGAAAUCUCCCAGCCUAACUGGGAAACUGCCAUUGAAACUGUUUAUCUUGAGUACAUUUGAGGCGGGCGGAAUGUGUCAUGUAGAGGUGAAAUUCUUAGAUAUGACACAGAACACCAAUUGCGAAGGCAGCUCGCUAAACUGUAACUGACGCUGAGGCACGAAAGCGUGGGGAUCAAACAGG
rnacentral:rRNA from 1 species